rnacentral:rRNA from 1 species
UUCCCUAGCCAAUAGCAUGUUGAAUGUAUACCAGUUCCCAAUAUUGAUCACUGAAGUUAAGCAACGUUGCGCGUGUUUGUAUACGGAUGGGUGACCAUCUGUGAGCAAUAGCGUGCUGCUGGUU